rnacentral:misc_RNA from 1 species
GUUUGUAUCCAUGUUUUGCUAGGACUCACAAGACUAGCUUAAAUCGGUAAAAAGCUCGUGACAAGGCCUAUGGAAGGAAACUGAGGCUUAAACUGUAAAAAAAUGUCACCGUUGACGAGAAAUUGACACACUGAGGAUAUAGGCAUACAGCUGCAACUGUUAAAGAUCAGUGUAAAUUUCUUCUGUCUGCUCGUAUACGGAAUCUCAACGAGGGAUAAACACAAUCAUGGCAGUGGAAAGUGGAUCUGAAAAGUGGAAAUGGUUCUGCGGUAAAAAUUCAUCGGAUCUCGUGUUUUUUGAUGAUUUUGAAUGGAAAAAGAAUUUCACGUACGGAAACGCGUGCUUUAUGAGCGCUGUCUACACGAUCCCCCAUGCACUCUUCAUUGUCGUGUUCAUUUUAGUUCUGGCGUGCCUUUUCAUCUUCUCGCCCCGAAACCUACCCCCCUCAAAAUAUCUAAUCCGUUUUCCAGGUCAUGUGGUGCGGUGGUUAGUAUCCAGCCUAUUAUUGGUGGUUCUAUUUGCUUCUAUCGGGGAGGGGAUUUUAACCGAUCAGACGUUUGAAGGCGCGCCUACUCAACCCCAUUUAUAUCUGACAGGGUGUUGUUCUGUUGUUACUGUUAUACUAUCUCUUAUGGUUUAUCAAAUGAUGGAAAUACGUAACGCAAUAUACAUUUCACUAGUUCUUAGUCUUUAUUGGAUCCUGGCGAUCGGAGUCGAAGCCUUUCGCUUGGUCGGCCUGGAUUACAUGAAAUUAGCUUCGAUUGAAACGAUUCGUUUUAAUAUCUGUCUGUUGUCUUUGGCUGGAUUUACGAUCAUCUUGCUGGUUGAAUUAUAUGUGUUUCAAGGCAAGAUUUAUCGUGUAUGCUGUGUUCCGUAUGGCGGUAUUCUCUCGCCUUCAGAGUUUCCCGUUGACGAUAUGCUUUACAAAGACCAAUAUUCGAAUGCCGUCUCCCAGAUUAGUUUUUGGUGGCUGAACUGGUUGCUGAGACUUGGCUAUAAGCGCCCUCUAGAGAUUUCUGAUUUGGGAUCAAUACCUGACGAUUUUGAAAGCCGAAAUAAUUUGAACAAAUUUAAAGAGGCAUUUGAGAAAGAAAAGAAAAGAGCAGAGAGUAAAAACGUCAUGCCGUCUCUUUGGCGAGUAUUCGCUGUUGUCUACGGAAGAGGUCUUUUAACUUCUGGUAUUUUCAAUUUAAUUGGUAACCUCCUUAGUUUCGUUGGACCACUGGUUGUUGGAGCAAUUGUUACUUAUGUAACGAAAAUCGUAUACUUUCCAGAUUCAGAAGUUAAGGUUAGUCAUUACGUCACAACUAAGGAAUACUUUGACAAUGGUUUCAUACUAGUUGGUGUGAUGUUCUUUGCUGGAAUAGGCAAAUUUGUUUGCAUACAGUCAGCUUUCCAUCUGGCGAUUUUAGAGUCGCUGAAAGUACGAGUGGCGAUUCAGGCCGUCGUUUAUGAGAAAUCUUUGGCGCUGUCAACUUUUGCGAUUACAGGCGGCGCUAUGACAAUGGGACAGAUAACCAACCACAUGUCAACCGACGCCAUGUCGCUCGUUUACAUAUUUCAACUCGGGAACCAACUUUGGUCAAUUCCAGUGAUUAUUGCCGUAACGCUGGCCUUGCUGUAUCAGGAGAUGGGCGUAUCUGCUUUGAUUGGAGCUAGUGUUUUCUUAGUGACGUUUCCUAUUCAAAUUAAAAUCGGAGCACUGAUGUCGAAAAUCCAAAAAGAAACCAUGGUAUUUUCCGAUGAACGACUUAAACUAUCGAAUGAAUUGUUGCAAGGAAUCAAAUUACUAAAAGUGUAUGGCUGGGAGAAAGUAUACGCUGACAUGAUUGAAGGUGUUCGAGCAAAUGAAUUCAAAUGUAUGAAGCGCAUGGGCGUGUGUACUGUGUUCCAAUAUUUCUUCGUAAUGUCUUCUCCAGUAAUGGUAACCUUACUCUCUUUUUCGCUGUAUAGUAAACUUGAAGGCGUUGAUUUGAAACCGGACAUUGCGUUUUCUUCACUUGCGCUCUUCCAACAAUUGACCGUCCCAUUGUUCCUUCUGCCGAUGACACUUGCGUUCCUGGUUAACGCAAUUGUUAGCACAAAUCGUUUACGGAAUUUUUUGAUUGCACCAGAAAUUGAAAAACUCGAUAAUGGUCGGCAACAGAGACAGCAAAAGAAUGGUGUAAACCAUCACAUGCAUGAUGAUAAGAUUCCAAACGUAGACUUCAAAUUUCCGGGCAAUAGAGCAAAAUCAUCAGUGAAGAAGAACUCUGGGAAUUCUGAGCAUUUGGCAUUUCAGAAUUACGACGAUAAAUCAAAACUUACUUCUUCGGGGAAACACGUCACAUCAUAUGGAAGUAUGUCAACAUCACUAUCAGCUACUCCGAACGAUGUACCUGAUGACGUCACAUUCACAAUAAGAAAUGGAGAUUUUUGUUGGGAUCUGGAUUCAAAUAUUCCAUGUAUUUCGGACAUCAAUGUCGAUAUUCCUGCAGGUAGACUAACUAUAAUUGUUGGCCAGGUUGGUUCAGGUAAAUCAUCUUUGAUAGCGGCUGCACUUGGAGAAAUGAGGACGAAAUCAGGAGAAGUACAGUGGAAUAGGAAUAAGAACUCUGUGGCGUAUGGCUCUCAGAAGGCUUGGUUGGUUAAUGCGUCACUAAGGGACAACAUCCUGUUUGGAUCAGAAUAUGAGUACCAACGGUAUGAACGGACUAUAGAAGCGUGCGCCCUCAAACCAGACAUCGAGAUCUUACCAGGCGGUGAUCAGACUGAGAUUGGUGAGAAAGGGAUCAACCUUAGCGGAGGUCAGAAGCAGAGGGUCAGCAUAGCGAGGACUGUGUAUUCCGAUGCAGACGUCAUAAUUUUGGAUGAUCCUCUGUCUGCAUUGGAUGUUCACGUCGGAAGUCAGGUUUUCAACGAAGGAAUUAUGGGAUUGUUAAUAGAAAAAGGUAAAACUGUGGUCCUCGUCACCCAUCAAAUACAAUAUGUGGAAUUUGCACAUCAGAUUAUUGUUAUGGACGACGGGAAAGUACUCACCCAGGGAACGUUAGAUGAGAUUAGAUCAGAUGAUCCGGAGUUGUACCGAUCCUGGCAGAAAUCUAUGGCGCAGAAGGAAUCGGAGAGUGAGAUGAGUGAAAUAGAAAGCGCAGAUGAAGAAAGGAUGAAGUUAAAGAAGCAAAUAUCCAUCAGAGAAUCAGCCGAAGUUCGGGACCAGAUAUCUAAAAAAAAUUCCGAAACUGGGAAACUUAUCGAGGAAGAGGAGAUUGUCAGGGGCUCAGUCUCUUACAAGAUGUACUUUUACUACAUCAACGCUAUGGGCAAGCUGCUUGCUGUGUUAGUUCUCGUCAGCUGUAUAUCUGUGACAGGUAUGAUGGUCGGCACUAAUUUCUGGUUGUCUGAAUGGUCGGAGGCCGGUAUUGCUGUCUCAAAUGACACAAGGACGACUAAAGACUAUAUUCUAGGUUAUACUGGCCUAUCGAUCUCAAGUAUUGUAUUGUCCAUGGUGUCGUCUGUAAGUCUGGUGUUUGUGUGCCUCUACGCGGCUCAGAAAUUGUUUUUAAAUCUACUGCGAAAUGUUAUCAACGUGCCAGUCAGGUUUUUUGAUGUUACACCUGUUGGACGCAUCCUCAAUCGAUUUUCGAACGACACACAAGUCAUUGAUGUGCGAUUGAAUCAGCUGAUAAACGGACUUAUACGAAGCACAGUGAGCUGUGUUGCUGCCCUCAUCGUCAACACAAUCGUUGUACCAGUGUUUAUCGCCAUUGUUUUUCCGGUUAUGAUCAUCUAUUACAUUGUUCAAAAAUUUUUCAUUGCCACCUCAAGAGAAUUACAGAGGCUUGACAGUAUUACAAAGUCGCCAGUAUUUGCAUAUUUCUCUGAAACUCUCGGCGGCUUGAUUACCAUUAGAGCGUACAAAUCUGGGAGCCGAUUCCAAGAAUACAUCAUGGAAAAGAUAAAUUUAAAUAGUUUAGCUUACCUUUACCUUCAGACCUGCAACAGGUGGCUGGCAGUGAGACUGGACUUUAUCGGGACUUUUAUUGUACUAAUUGCCGGAUUGACAACGGUUAUCAGCGCUGUUCUCGGCAACACUGAUCCUAGUUCUGUUGGCCUAGCCAUCACUUACGCGUUACAGGUUUCUGGAUAUUUAAACUGGGUCAUAAGAAACAUGGCAGACACGGAGAUGUCCAUGAAUGCUGUAGAACGCGUUAGUCACUAUACUAACCUCGAAAGUGAACCGUAUGAAGGAUCCCGUGUACCACCGUUGUCAUGGCCUGAUAAGGGUGAUAUUGACUUCCGGGACAUUUCUGUACGAUACGCAAGAGACCUUGAUCCUGUUCUUAAGUCUAUUAGUCUUCAUUUCAAACCUGGAGAGAAAGUUGGUAUUUGUGGUCGAACUGGAAGUGGCAAAUCGUCUUUGACAUUAACUCUGUUUCGUGUGAUUGACACAUUCAAAGGUUGCAUUGUAAUUGAUGAUUUUGAUAUUGCGCAUGUUCCGUUAAGAAUUUUGCGUCAACGACUUUCCAUAAUUCCACAAGAUCCUGUCCUUUUCACUGGAACUAUCAGGUACAACCUCGACCCGCAGCAUUUGAGGACAGACCAGGAAUUGUGGGAAGCGAUCGAAAUAGCUCAAUUAAAAGAUGUCGUCAGUGGCCUGGAGGGCUCAUUAGACUACCAAGUGUCAGAAGGAGGGGAGAAUUUCAGCGUAGGUCAGCGCCAACUAUUCUGCUUGGCCAGAGCUUUCUUGAGGAAGUCACAGAUUCUAAUCAUGGAUGAAGCAACGGCUUCGAUUGAUAUGCAAACAGACCAAAUUCUACAGAAAGUGGUGGCAAGUGCUUUUAAGGAUAAAACAGUUCUGACAAUCGCGCAUCGUGUCUCCACCAUCAUCGAUUAUGAUACCAUACUUGUACUCGGUGAUGGAGAAGUCAAAGAACUUGAUUCACCAAAAAAUCUACUAGCACGUGACGACAGCAUCUUCAGCUCAUUGGUCAAAUCGAAUAAAUAAGAUAGACAACAAAUAAAGAAACCUCGCUUGAUUUUCAGUUUUGAGAGUAAUUGUUAUUGUCGUGAUGGAAUAGACAAUAACUGGAUUUGCGUCAGGUACGGCAAAAUUACAAGUAUUUUCAUUCUUGUUACCGAUUACGGAACCAUUAUUAUUCACGGACCUUAAUUGCCGCGAUUUUGUUAAAUGAAGUAUUCAAUCAUUACCUUUUUAUUUUCGCGAAUUGUUUUAAAAUGAAUUACGCAACGGCAACUCACUCGUCAACUUUCAAAAUCCGUAAUCAACAAUGUAUUUGUUUUUUUAGGAGACUAGUAGCUGAUUGAUAGAGGCGGUUGAGUAUAUUAUAGCGUGAUGAGAAAAGUAAUUUCAUACCUUAAUUACUUUCAGUUUUAUUGAUUGUUCAAGUUGCACGCAAGUGAACCAUUUUCGGCAUGUAAUCAAAAUUGUGUAGAACUGAAGAUAAAUGUUGCUAGUCGAAGCUGAUAGGCCUACUGUUUCUUUCGGGUCAACAAAAUGAGGUUAGAGUAUACACUUACACCUCUACAGACUGGCUAAUCCCGGUGGACGAGGAUCCCAAGUGAUGAAAUACAUAUACAUUUUCCAAUUGCUUUAACAAUUAAUUUAUAUAUAUUUAAGAAGUUUUCUCAUUUUUAGACGACCCUGGAGGAUAAUCUUAUGCGUAUUGCCAUUUUAUGUCUCACAAAUGCACUUUAAACUCCAAUUAUGAGUAUUGCAAUUGGUUGUAAAUUCGGCAAUUUGUUAAAGACAUAUUUCAAAAACAUAAGUUAUAUUUCGCAUUCGUGUUUAAAAGAAUGAAAUAGAAUUACAGCCAUAGUUAUAAAUACUCCAUUUUAAUUCAUAAAACCAUAACUGCUUGUUGUAAUAAAACUCAAAAUUACCAGCAGGCCUACAGAUAAAUAAGCAUAUAAUAAGUUUGCAUGUAGGCCUAUAUGCUUUUGCCAGAUCGUCCCCAAACCCGUUACAAUAUAAAUUUAGAAAAUUGAAUUAGAAGCAAUGACAGAACAUUUCAAGUGAAAAAUAUGCUGGUAAGUUUGUAAUUAUAAGUUGUGGCAGUAGAAAAGGUUCCCGGAUUGGAAGGUCAUUGUUUCAUUAUUCGAGCAUUCCUACUUGCUAUUAUCUGAUUAUUUCUAUAAGUGGACAUUCCUAUUUAGGGGACACUCUCUUGGUCCCGAAUCACGGGAAACCAUACAUUUUUGGCUGUAUUUUUAACACUACAGCCAAUCCCUGUUUCGGGACAAGCUUAUUGUCCGAUCAUGAGGUCUUGUGACGGUUAUGUAGUUAAGCCCGUGCCAAGUACGUGUGUGUGUAACCGAUUGUAUUUACCUAUUAAUAUUACAUUAAUAUUAUAAUUGGUAUUCAUUAUUAUUAUUAUUAUUAUUAUUGUUAUUAUUUUUUUUUUAUCAUAGUCGUCAUCGCCAGCCUCAUUUUAACUACAUUAUUACUUCCAUAUAUUACAAGUACUAAAUAAAAUCAAUGCAAUUAUAUUUUGAUAAUUUUUUUCGAUAAUUUAAGCACAAAAAAAUGCAAAUUGAUAUUCUUACUUAUACAAUAGUUGUCAUGUUCUAGGAUGGCAGCAUCAGGAGAUAUUCCUCUAUAAAUAUUUAACGUCGAUCUAUCGGAUUCGGCGGAGCUUUGUUAGCGGUCAAUACCCAUUGUAAUGGCUUGCUGUUAAUGCGUUUAGCUUACUACAGUAUGUAAAAAAGGCACGAGCCGGUAUUUAGUGAAUUUACUGUACUGUCAAAAUGUAUUCAGGUUCAUGUCGUGGAAAGAUCAAUACUAAAAUUGUUGAUUUAGGUUUGCGUUCAUACACAUCAUUAACAUAGUGUUAAUCACAGAAGGAAGAUCUUGUUAGCGCCAUUUCGUUAAAUUCAGAUGUAUAGUAUAGUGUGAAUGCAAGUCGUGUUAAACAAACAUAGACGGAUGUAAAAAAGUAAAAGAAAAACAACCAUCGGGUUGAGUUCGCUAUAGGCUAUAGGCCUAUUUCUAAGAGACUGCGUGGACACUAUAAUCAAGAUCAUUUUCUCCAUGAUACGAUCGAUGAAGGCCUAGUUAUUCCGACUUUCUCCCGAUGUAUACCUGUCCACCGCAAAUCAAGUGGUUAUAAUACGAAGUUAAAAUAAAUGAAUAACGAAUUGUACUAUAAUACACCGCAUCAGGGUGCUUAGGAAUUCGAAUAGAUUUCUAAUGCUGUUAUUGGAUAUAAAAUCAUACGGUAACUAAAAGAAAGGAAGGGAGAUGUAUAGCUGAACACUAAGGACAGUCUGGGACCCAAAUAGUUACCGGUCCAAACUAGGGGCGCUAGGGGUAUCUGCUUUAAAAUUUGUAUGUGUAAUAUUGAGCAUACUAUACAGUGUUAUAUAAGCCUAUAAUAUUUGAUAAGGCUUAGUUAUAAUAUUAUCUCCACUAUAUAUUUUAUACAUUGCUUUUGUUACAUUAUUCAUAUAUAUAUGUAUAUAUAUAUAUAUAUAUAUUUGUGUACGGUAUUUGAAAAAUAAUGAUAACCACAAUGCAAUUAAAUUUUGAAUCAUUUUGUAAUAAUUCAAGAACAGAAAUGCAAAUUGACUAUUUUCAUAUAGGAGAGUGAUACUGUACUAAGUAAGCACAAUGCAAGUAUUUAAGCACAAACAUGUAUGUGUGUUGUUAUCACGUAUUUACCACGCUUUGUGUGGCGACCCUAAACGUAACAUUGUUUAAUGAUUAAUGAAUCUUUAUUUGAACAUUCUUUACAACAUUGUAUCCAUGAGGAAUGAUGAAUAUGAUUUACAAACAAUCAGAACAAAAGUUUGUAUUAGUCUUCUGUAUUGGAGUAGGCCUAUAGGGCUAUUAAAAGCUAAAGCAUAAUAGUUUGCACAACUGUCCUACGUAAUUGUUAUCCCGCCCCCGUGAUCAGCUCUAUUGUAAUAUCAUUGACCUGAACACAAACGAGAUCGUUCUAAUGACGUCACUUCAUUUCAGCAACAUUCAUAUAUGGAAAACAAAUCAUGACUUUGUACAUGAAUUGGAUAACAGAUGCCACAAGAUGUGAAGUCCAGACUUUUUAUAGAUUAAAAACAUUUUCUACUAUAACGCAAUUAUUGAAUAGGCCUCAGUGUAAUAAUAAUAAUAAUAAUAAUAAUCAUCAUAAUCAUAAUAAAUAAUAAUAAAUGAUAAUAAUAAUAUUAAUACUGUAAUAA